rnacentral:lncRNA from 1 species
CUAACGCUGGGAAUAUUUUAAGAUAAAAUGGCUUGCCAUAGCUGGACUUUCACUUUCCACUCCACAGGACCACUUCCUUGAUUAGGCUAUAUGUAGAUAUAUAUUAGUUUUACAAACAAACAAUAAAUAAAUGAAUAAACAAAUAAAUAAACAAACAAAUAAAUAAAUUCAUUAAUGUAUUAUGUAGGCUAACUAUUUGCCUUCUUUCUAUAGGCUAAUUUAAAAACCUGCUGAAACUUAUAUAAAAUGAAUCCGUUUCCCUCAAGAAGUCUUUUGACAUUUUCCCCCAUAUUACAAAAUCAUUAGUUGACACAUCGCACAAUCCCCUUCAGCUGUCCGAGUAACAGGAAGUGACGAAACUGCACUAGAAUCAUAUCGCUUUAUAGAGGUCGGCGGAUUGUUGGAGAACAUUAGCGACAUCCCAAUAUCAGGGAUAAAGAGUCACACGUCUGCUCAUCCUUGUCUUUCACACACUGAACUUAUUUUGAUCACUUGAGACUAUUUUAUAAACGAACAGACUUAGGACCAAACAGAAGAAUUCCUUUAGGGGUAGUAUUACAAAUAAAGUAACUCGAUCUCAUCAUCAUUGGGACACACAGCGGAGGUCCGAAUAAAGCAGCGGGACAAGGACACCUGUAUCCGUCACAUAAGUAUGCUGUUGUUGCUGUCUCAUCAAAGACUGAAAGUGUAUGACCCCUCCCUAUCCUGCUGGUGUGAGAAGUCAGUCAGCUGUGUUUAGGAUGGCUGAAGGAGGGCCACUGCUGAAAAUUUAUCCUCAUCCAGAGGAGUGGAAACCCAAAACUUGAGCCAUGGGGGAUUAUUACGAGAUCCUGGGUGUGACGAAAAAUACAUCCCAUGACGAUAUAAAGAAAGCGUAAGUACUCCGUGUCCUGUCAUGGGCGUCUAUUUUUAAACAAGGAACAUAGUGGAGCAGUAAUGAUAACAGUGACUGCAGCACAGGGGUUAGUUGAUACUGUCCAUGUGAGAACUCUGCUCUUUGCUGCUUGUCCCUAUUAAUGUGUGUUUGUCUCAAUUCCUCGCUUCUGAUGUUCUCUAUUUAAAAACAACAACAAAAACAUCAACCCUCUAUAUUAAUAACAAGGAAUUAAG